ACACAUGCAAGUCGAACGGAGAUUAUUUCGAUAAUCUUAGUGGCGAACGGGUGAGUAACGCGUGGGCAACCUGCCCUCUAGAUGGGGACAACAUCCCGAAAGGGGUGCUAAUACCGAAUGUGACAGCAAUCUCGCAUGAGGAUGCUGUGAAAGAUGGCCUCUAUUUAUAAGCUAUCGCUAGAGGAUGGGCCUGCGUCUGAUUAGCUAGUUGGUGGGGUAACGGCCUACCAAGGCGAUGAUCAGUAGCCGGUCUGAGAGGAUGAACGGCCACAUUGGGACUGAGACACGGCCCAGACUCCUACGGGAGGCAGCAGUGGGGAAUCUUCCGCAAUGGGCGAAAGCCUGACGGAGCAAUGCCGCGUGAGUGAUGAAGGAAUUCGUUCCGUAAAGCUCUUUUGUUUAUGACGAAUGUGCAGAUUGUGAAUAAUGAUUUGUAAUGACGGUAGUAAACGAAUAAGCCACGGCUAACUACGUGCCAGCAGCCGCGGUAAUACGUAGGUGGCGAGCGUUGUCCGGAAUUAUUGGGCGUAAAGAGCAUGUAGGCGGUUUUUUAAGUCUGGAGUGAAAAUGCGGGGCUCAACCCCGUAUGGCUCUGGAUACUGGAAGACUUGAGUGCAGGAGAGGAAAGGGGAAUUCCCAGUGUAGCGGUGAAAUGCGUAGAUAUUGGGAGGAACACCAGUGGCGAA
rnacentral:rRNA from 1 species